rnacentral:tRNA from 1 species
CAGGGAGACAACAAAAUGUUUAAUAUUAUUUUGUCACUUAGGUCGAUCGGUAUCUCACAUUCUUAAUUUAUUAAGAAUUUCCUUUCCUAAGUUUUUCUAGGUCACACCCAUUAUUUUUCCUGGGCCAUUAGCUCAGGUGGUUAGAGCGCACCCCUGAUAAGGGUGAGGUCCCUGGUUCAAGUCCAGGAUGGCCCAUAUCUCUAUGUUGGGGGUAUAGCUCAGUUGGUAGAGCGCCUGCUUUGCAAGCAGGAUGUCAGCGGUUCGAGUCCGCUUACCUCCACUGAUUACCACCUCUUCCAUAAAUUUAUAGAAGGGAAAUUUUUUGAGUCGUGACCAAAUCCUGAACGAAUCUAGCUUCCUAAUAGUUUUAUUAAGAUGCUGGACUCAUUGAAUUAAUUUCAUUGUUUUCAGAGAACCUUGACAACUGCAUAGAUUAUUUUUAAAGACAAUAAGCAUCUUUAAUGAUGCAGAUUUUUUAUUUGUGCGAAUGCAUUAAUAACAAUUUUAUUAAGCUGAUGCUUCAA